CUCCUCCUCCUCCAAACCCCUACUCCCGCCGACCAAUCGAUCGAGCCAGUGCUCCGCUCUGGUGGUUGGCCGUAGUAUAGCCCGUGGGUUCCUCACCGUAGCAGAGAUCUGUGGCGGCGGAGCGGAUCGGGCCGGCACCAAACCCCUAAACCCACGCCCCCCGAUCCCCCGAUCCGCGACGAGGAGCGGGUGCGGUGGCCGGACCCGCGGAUCGCCGGAGCUCAGAGGGGGUGCCUGUCGCAGAUCUGCCGAUCCUGGCGCCGGACAUGAGCUCCUCGGUCGAGAAGGUGAGCCGAUCCGAUCCGGAGCGUGUUUUCCGUGCCCGAUCUGUAGAUGCGAGGCAGGGAUUUGGUGUUGAUCUGACGUGUUUUGCCUCGGUCUGUUCGCAGGGGAACGGAUCGCUGGAUCCCGGCGAGCGCCCGGCCGCCGGCAGCCAGCCCAAGGCCUGCACCGCCUGCAACACCACCAAGACGCCGCUCUGGCGCGGCGGACCCUCCGGACCCAUGGUGAGUGCCGCAGAUCCCUCCCGAUCUGUUGUCUAACCCCUUUGUUCUUUCCCGAUCUGUGAUUUACGGCGGCUGAUCUGUUUUUUAUGGUCUCCCUCGAUCCAGUCGCUGUGCAACGCGUGUGGGAUCCGGUACAGGAAGAAGCGGAGGGAGGCGAUGGGCCUCGAGGACCCCCCCAAGAAGAGGCAGCCGGCGGCCGCCGCGCCUGCGGCGGCAGCGGCGUGCUCGGAGGCCGGCGGCGAGAGCGCGGAUCCGGAGCAGCAGCAGCCUCAGCAGCCCAAGAAGAAGACGACGACGACCAAGAGGGGGCGCGAGGUGGAGCUCCGCGUUGUCGGGUUUGGCAAGGAGGUGGUGCUGAAGCAGCGGCGGCGGAUGCGGCGCAGGCCGCGGCUGGGCGAGGAGGAGAAGGCGGCCAUCCUCCUCAUGGCCCUCUCCUCCGGCGUCAUCUACGGCUGAUCCAGGCCGGCCCAGCCCCACCUAGCUAGCUAGCAGCAAGCGGAGAGAGGAGAAGAGAAGAGAAGAGAGAUGAGAGGAGAUCCAGAGUGUGAGUGAUUUGCUCGCUUGCUGCUUGUCUAGCAAGCAAGCAUGCAGGCAGAGAUGUUGCGGCGUCUCUGCCUGCUCCCCCUUGUUCUUUCCUGGUAGUUUUUCCGGCUGAUUAGUUCUUCAAUAAUGAAUGAAUGAACGAUGAUGCAGCUGCAGCAGCUGCUGCUGUUCUUCGUGCCAGCUUAGCGGCUUUGUUCUUUCUUGUUGCCUAGUAGCAGCUGUGAUGUUACCCAAGUAGUAGUAGUAGCGGUUAUCCUAGUAGUAGUAUCAGUGGUAGUGUGUAACAUUGCAGUGUAAGAAUUGAGAGAGCUUUAUGAAUGAUGAACCAUCUUUGUGGCUCCAGAUCUGUGCAAGCACUCUCUUUUUCACCUGAAAGCGGGCUUGAUAGCAGCUCCAGAUCUGUGCAAGCACCCGCCUUUUCUUCCCUCGCAGCUGAAAUUCAUCCCAGGUGAUCGAUCUGCCAUUGAUGGAUGUUUGAUCUGAUGUGAUGGUGCACGGGUGGUGUUUCCGCCUGGGAUCUGGGGUUGGCGGCCGGAUGAGUAGCAUUCCAUUCCGUUCCGGUGAUAGUAGUAUUUUCCGGGUGGAAAAGCAAGCAGUGAGGUCGCCGUCCAUGGUGGUUUCUCGAAAGGGAAAAGUCAGCACCCGGUCUUUCUUUCACCCUCUGCUGCUCCACUGCACUCCACUGCUGCUGUCACCAGCUUUCAGCCCGCUUGCUCACUCACUGACACUGGUAGGAGUGGAGUGGGGUGGAGGAAUCCAAACCCUAUCUACUGGAGUAGUAGUAUCCCGAUGUGUGACCCAGCGGGCCGGCGGGCCGCGGGGAGGGGGUGAAAGGCGGCAUGGAAUUUGCUUGUUCGGGAGGGUGCCCGCAGUGCAGAGCCCCCCAUCCACACGGCCGGGAAUCCCGUGAUUGCUGCGUGCAUCUCUUAUCUUGUCCGUCCCGGACCAGAGGUGUGCCGCUGCCUGCCCCUGCCUGACGACUCGAUGUUGCGAUGGAUGGAUAAUCAUGCGACGGGCCUGCCUGGCUGUUGGCUGUGGGUAUCUUGUGAUCCUGGUUGGUGGUUUGUUCCGUUUUGUUUGUGUUGUGCUCCCGUCCGGAGAAAAAAGAUCAUUGGAUGGAUGGUGACAAGUCAUUCGUUCGUUCGUUCGGGUGCCAAACAAACCAUGUUUUGUUUUGUUAGUGGUGCUGUUGCGUAUCAUGCCGUGCGUGCGCGUGUUUUGGGUGUAUAAUGUAUGUAGGAUAGUGUACGGGUUUGGUGAUGGAUCGGACGGCCGCGUCCUACUUUGCGUAUUACUAGCGGGGCUACCAGUUUUGGACUUGGGCCGGGACCUGGGGGAGUGGGGAACCGGGGAUGGAUCGAUGGAUGGAUCGAUGGGCGGUCUGCGCUGUUGUGUCUUGGUUUCUUCUCCGGGGAGGUGUCGACUCGCGGGUUUGGGGAAGGAACGGCGUACUAGUAAAUAAUAAAGGCGAGGGAGGCGUGGCGGGCACGUGAGUGUGUCAGCCGUGGAACGGCGGGGUGGCAUGGCAUUGGGGACUGGGCUCCGCUCCGCUGCCUGGGAAGGGAGCAAUGCCGGCCGGCCGUCGUGUCCACGGCCUUGGCCUUUUACCGCUGCCGAUGCGCCAAACGCGGUGCCCCUCCGUCCCAAACAAAACCCCUCCGUCGCAAAGUUAUUUUACGACGGAUGGAGUGCAUAGUUUGCCACACAGGGCAGAACGUCAUUGCAAAGCGCACCAUCGGUCCUACUAUCGGAACCAGACUUAGCAAUCUCAUGCGCCGUCCUGUUUGCCUGCCUAUCAAUCUUCACAACCUUAAGAUCCUUCAUAAACUUUGAGACGCUCAUCGCUUCCUUUCUCAGAUCAACAAAAAGGGGACCUGUCUAUGGUUUCUUUUGCGAGAGAAGAUGCAACAAAGGGGCAAUCAGUUUCCAGAAAAAUUGGUUUGUCAAGUAAGUGUAGUACCAACGUAUAACCCGGGGAGGCACGCAUGAAGUUCCGCUUCAUCCACACAGGUACACGACCGAAUAAAAUCCCACAAAGAGAAGAAACCAUGACUUCACCCAGAUGAUUCCUGACGACAAGCCCUACACUAGCAGAUCUCAUGCUCUCCACAAAAUUAGCGUCAAUAUUUAUUUUAAAAUAGUCGAGAUCAGGAGGCUUGCAAAGAACACAGACAUUCGUUGGCGAAUUAACGUACCUCCAAUUAUCUACCACCCCCUCAUCUUUGUUGCUUAAAUCCACUUGCACAAAGGCGUUGACUGACGUGAAGGUUUUCCAAUAACUUUCCACAAAAAUAACAGAGGCGGACAAAGGUUCUUCCCCCUUCCAAAAAUCACAGUGGCGGGGCCGCACGGUUUCGGGAAGAGAGAAAUGUGGACGUAGCACAUGUCACCUCUCUUUGGAUAUGUCUUCUCUCUCCAAUGCCGAUGAGGUUGAAGAACAUGCUUGUGGCAGACAUGCUCCAUGCAGGUGCUCCUAUGCUGUUGCAGCGAAGUCGAAGUCGUCGGGCUGCGAGUGCGAUGGAGGAUUCGUCGAGGUGUUUAGUUUUUCAUCAUUUUCGUAUGUCUUGUGGUGCUAGUGACCUAGCUUAGAUAUGUGUAGUUGCCUAUUGUUCAGGUUUUCGUCCGGUUUUCCUCUAAUAAACCAAGCAGCUCUCGUCGAUGGCCUACGUCUUCUGAAUGGAGUCUUAGCUGGUUUUCUGGUAACUUUUUUUUAAUAAAACGUCUAUACUGCCUGCACUCGUUGAUUAUAACUCUUUUUUAAGGGUUCAUUUAGACGUGAUGUAACUACUAUUGUACGUCACAUCUAAGUAUGACAUGAGCGCUCUCAUCUUAGAGCUAGCCCAUCCCACCUCGUGCUUGUUUGUUUGUGUGUUCUUCUUUGUUUCUUUAACGCCGACCCGAGGGUAAAUCACCAAGGCAAUCGCUGGCAACGGUUUAGGGGCACUCUCACCCGCAGGAAAACACUGCUCACUGCAAGAGAUCAUUAGAGAUCUCUAACACCACAGAGAUGCACGGAUGAUCUCUGUACACGCGCACUUCGUGAACGUUCACACGUUUCAUCAUAUGGGUGAGGUCAGGUGUAACAGUACGGCCGGUCACCCUGCAAAAUAAAAAAUAAAAAAUACAGCCGGUCACUGGUCACAAAGCCAAUCACGACCAUCACUCCCAGGCACAUUCUACAUCAGAGGUACCCGUAAUUACUCAUAGUAAAGCUAAAAAAUUCAAGUCAAUUACAACCAAUAAUACCAGAUUGACCCUACUGGAUUAUCCAGGAUCAAGCUGCUGUACGAAGACAUACUUAACGCCAUGUUUGGGUGUGCUGGAGUAUUAGUUGCCGCUAAAAAUUCUCAAUAAAUAAAUAAAAUAAAAUGAGUUGCUGCUAAAAAAAGCUAUAAAAUUUAUAUUUAGCUAAGUUUGUAUAUCAGACAGGCUAGUGCUAGCUAGCGUGAUAAUCCAAGUUUACGAUCGCGGGCGAGACCAUUUAGCGGCUGCCCACACACACAGCGGGAGAUAGCGGCUGCUAAGCCAAUUAGUAUAUGUGCAUAUUUGUCUCGGAAACAGAGGAUUUAUCAGCAGAAAACAGGGGAUCUUCAGUAGAAAUUCAGACAUAACCAGCAUAAGAGAGGUCUACAGCAGAGACCAAUUCAUCACAUAAUGUCCGACAUAAAUUCAAGGUCUCAAGGAUCACUAGUUGACCACUUAAGAGUAUCUACACCCGGACUUGGCAAAUCCAGCCCCUCAAACGCCCGCGGACGUGCCGCGGGUACUGACAAGGCAUCCCUCAAAUUAGUCAUUUUGCAUCCACCUCUCUCAUAUUUAUUCCCUAAAUCCAUAUAAAGCAUGCAAGAAAAAAAAUACGUACCACAUUUACGUACUACCCUAGGUACUCUUCGUCGUUGGAGAUGUCCACGACGAGGGUGACGGGCGCCGGCUAGACGGGUGGAUAGGAGGGCUCCGGCUCAUCCUCCUUCUACUCGACCUCAUGCAUGUAGGCGAACAUCUCCGCCUCCUUCGCGGCCUCUUGCGCCUCCAUCUCCUGGCGGCGACGGCAUCUUGCCUUCGCAGCCGACUCCAACCGGAGGGAAUCAAUGAUGGUCUGCUGCUCCGCCUGCAGAUCCCCGUCGCCAGCGUCCCCCACAUCCUCCUCCUCCUCCGGAUUCACUGCAUCCGGAGGUAGCCCCGCAACAAUCUGGGCGGUCUCACUCUCUCUCUCUCUCGUGUUCUUGAUUUGACACGAUCUUCAUGUACCGCGAGCUUUGUUACUAUAGUUGAAUCAUAUGGUGUUUCUCCCCCACUACCUUCUUGUGAUGAAUUGAGUUUUACCUUUGAGGUUUCACUAUUAUCGAAUUGAAUACUAUUAUGUAUUUGAGAACACUUGAUGUAUGUCUUGCGUGGGAUACCCGUGGUGACAAUGGGGUGUUCUAUUGAUUCACUUGAUGUAUGUUUUGGCACUCAACUCGCGGAUUCCCGAGGUGACAUUGGGGUAAUCUAUUCAUAAGGGUUGAUGCACAUUUUCGUCCUUGUUUCUCCAGUAGGAAUCUUGGGGCACUCUUUGAUGUUCUUUAUGUUGGAUUGAAUAUUAUGAAUCAAAAGUUGUUUGAUACUUAUCGUAUAAUUGACCCACGGAUACUUGUGGUGACAUUGGAGUAUCUAGGUGACAUUAGUGUUGAUUGAUGUGUGUCAUAUGGUGUUAUUUCACUACGAACUCUAGGGCAGUUUGUGACACUUAUAGGAAUAGCUCAAUGGAUUGAUCGGAAAGAAUAACUUUGAGGUGGUUUCGUACCCUACAAGCAAUUUCAUCUUAUGUUCUCCACGAUACGAACUUUGGAGUGACUCUUUGUUGUAUGUUGAUGGAUUGCCAUAUGAUUUAAUUAUGUUAUCAUUGUUGAGAGAAUUUGCACUAGUGAAAGUAUGAACCCUAGGCCUUGUUUUCAAGCAUUGCAAUACCGUUUUUGCUCACUUUUGUUACUUGUUACCUUGCUGUUUUUAUAUUUUCAGAUUACAAAAACCUAUAUCUACCAUCCAUAUUACACUUGUAUCACCAUCUCUUCGCUGGACUAGUGCAACUAUACAAUUUACCAUUGUAUUGGGUGUGUUGGCACUAUAAAAAAUACACUUCCGUGAUGAUACGUGUUGAUCACAAUAGGUCACGUUUUUUGUUAUGCAUGUACAUCCAUGACGAUUUUAUGAUAGAAUCAAGAUACUCAUACCUGUGCUGUCGUAGAAGUGUUCCAUGACAUUACCAAAAUUAUCAUCACGGAAGUGUCCACUUCCAUGACGAUAAAUCGCGCGUCAUAGAAGUGCUUUCGUCAAGGGUGACCGACACGUGGCAUCCACCGUAACGGGUCGCCGUUAAGCUAUCGGGUUCCGGUUUGGAUCCGAUAACCUGUUAACAGCCCGGACCAAUGGGGAUUUUCCAUGUGUAAAAUCUGAAGGAAAUAUGCCCUAGAGGCAAUAAUAAAGUUAUUAUUUAUUUCCUUAUAUCAUGAUAAAUGUUUAUUAUUCAUGCUAGAAUUGUAUUAACCGGAAACAUGAUACAUGUGUGAAUACAUAGACAAACAGAGUGCCACUAGUAUGCCUCUACUUGACUAGCUUGUUGAUCAAAGAUGGUUAUGUUUCCUAGCCAUAGACAUGAGUUGUCAUUUGAUUAACGGGAUCACAUCAUUAGGAGAAUGAUGUGAUUGACUUGACCCAUUCCGUUAGCUUAGCACUCGAUCGUUUAGUAUGUUGCUAUUGCUUUCUUCAUGACUUAUACAUGUUCCUAUGACUAUGAGAUUAUGCAACUCCCGUUUACCGGAGGAACACUUUGUGUGCUACCAAACGUCACAACGUAACUGGGUGAUUAUAAAGGUGCUCUACAGGUGUCUCCAAAGGUACUUGUUGGGUUGGCGUAUUUCAAGAUUAGGAUUUGUCACUCCGAUUGUCGGAGAGGUAUCUCUGGGCCCUCUCGGUAAUGCACAUCACUUAAGCCUUGCAAGCAUUGCAACUAAUGAGUUAGUUGUGGGAUGAUGUAUUACGGAACGAGUAAAGAGACUUGCCGGUAACGAGAUUGAACUAGGUAUUGAGAUACCGACGAUCGAAUCUCGGGCAAGUAACAUACCGAUGACAAAGGGAACAACGUAUGUUAUUAUGCGGUCUGACCGAUAAAGAUCUUCGUAGAAUAUGUGGGAGCCAAUAUGAGCAUCCAUGUUCCGCUAUUGGUUAUUGACCGGAGACGUGUAUCGGUCAUGUCUACAUAGUUCUCGAACCCGUAGGGUCCGCACGCUUAACGUUUCGAUGACAGUUAUAUUAUGAGUUUAUAUGUUUUGAUGUACCAAAGGUUGUUCGGAGUCCCGGAUGUGAUCACGGACAUGACGAGGAGUCUCGAAAUGGUCGAGACAUGAAGAUUGAUAUAUUGGAUGACUAUAUUCGGACACCAGAAUGGUUCCGGGGGUUAUCAGAUAUAUACCGGAGUACCGGGGGUUACCGGAACCCCCCCGGAGGCUAUUGGGCCUCAUGGGCCCAAUUGGUGGAAGAGGAGAGGCGGCCAAGGGACAGCCGCGCGCCCCUCCCCCCAAGUCCGAAUUGAAAGGAGGAGGGCAGCGCCCCUCCUUUCCUUUCCCCCUCUCUCGUUCCCUCUCCUCUCCUAGUCCAACAAGGAAGGGAGGGAGUCCUACUCCCGGUGGGAGUAGGACUCCUCCUGGCGCGCCUUCUCCUGGCCGGCCGCACCUCCCCCCUUGCUCCUUUAUAUACGGGGGCAAGGGGGCACCCCAUAGACACAACAAUUAAUCUCUUGAUCUCUUAGCCGUGUGCGGUGCCCGCUCCACCAUAAUCCACCUCGAUAAUAUCGUAGCGGUGCUUAGGCGAAGCCCCGCGUCGGUAGAACAUCAUCAUCGUCACCACGCCGUCGUGCUGACGAAACUCUCCCUCAACACUCAGCUGGAUCGGAGUUCGAGGGACGUCAUCGGGCUGAACGUGUGCAGAACUCGGAGGUGCCGUGCGUUCGGUACUUGAUCGGUCGGAUCGUGAAGACGUAUGACUACAUCAACCGCGUUGUGGUAAUGCUUCCGCUUUCGGUCUACGAGGGUACGUGGACAACACUCUCCCCUCUCAUUGCUAUGCAUCACCAUGAUCUUGCGUGUGCGUAGGAUUUUUUUUGAAAUUACUACGUUCCCCAACAGUGGUAUCCGAGCCUGGUUUUAUGCGUUGAUGUUAUAUGCACGAGUAGAACACAAGUGAGUUGUGGGCGAUAUAAGUCAUACUGCUUACCAGCAUGUCAUACUUUGGUUCGGCGGUAUGGUUGGAUGAAGCGGCCCGGACCGACAUUACGCGUACGCUUACACGAGACUGGUUCUACCGACGUGCUUUGCACACAGGUGGCUGGCGGGUGUCAGUUUCUCCAACUUUAGUUGAACCGAGUGUGGCUACACCCGGUCCUUGCGAAGGUUAAAACAGCACCAACUUGACAAACUAUCAUUGUGGUUUUAAUGCGUAGGUAAGAACGGUUCUUGCUAAGCCCGUAGCAGCCACGUAAAAUUUGCAACAACAAAGUAGAGGACGUCUAACUUGUUUUUGCAGGGCAUGUUGUGAUGUGAUAUGGUCAAGACAUGAUGCUAAAUUUUAUUGUAUGAGAUGAUCAUGUUUUGUAACCGAGUUAUCGGCAACUGGCAGGAGCCAUAUGGUUGUCGCUUUAUUGUAUGCAAUGCAAUCGCCCUGUAAUGCUUUACUUUAUCACUAAGCGGUAGCGAUAGUCGUAGAAGCAUAAGAUUGGCGAGACGACAACGAUGCUAUGAUGAAGAUCAAGGUGUCGCGCCGGUGACGAUGGUGAUCAUGACGGUGCUUCGGAGAUGGAGAUCACAAUCACAAGAUGAUGAUGGCCAUAUCAUAUCACUUAUAUUGAUUGCAUGUGAUGUUUAUCUUUUAUGCAUCUUAUCUUGCUUUGAUUGACGGUAGCAUUAUAAGAUGAUCCCUCACUAAAUUAUCAAAGUAUAAGUGUUCUCCCUGAGUAUGCACCGUUGCGAAAGUUCUUCGUGCUGAGACACCACGUGAUGAUCGGGUGUGAUAGGCUCUACGUUCAAAUACAACGGGUGCAAAACAGUUGCACACGCGGAAUACUCAGGUUAAACUUGACGAGCCUAGCAUAUAACAGAUAUGGCCUCGGAACACUGAGGCCGAAAGGUCGAGCGUGAAUCAUAUAGUAGAUAUGAUCAACAUAGUGAUGUUCACCAUUGAAACUACUCCAUCUCACGUGAUGAUCGAACAUGGUUUAGUUGAUAUGGAUCACGUGAUCACUUAGAAGAUUAGAGGGAUGUCUAUCUAAGUGGGAGUUCUUAAGUAAUAUGAUUAAUUGAACUUUAAUUUAUCAUGAACUUAGUCCUGGUAGUAUUAGCAUAUCUAUGUUGUAGAUCAAUAGCUUGCGUUGUUGCUUCCCUAUGUUUUAUAUAUGUUCCUAGAGAAAACUAAGUUGAAAGAUGAUAGUAGCAAUGAUGCGGACUGGGUCCGUGAUCUGAGGUUUAUCCUCAUUGCCGCACAGAAGAAUUAUGUCCUUGAUGCACCGCUAGGUGACAGACCUAUUGCAGGAGCAGAUGCAUACGUUAUGAACGUUUGGCUAGCUCAAUAUGAUGACUACUUGAUAGUUUAGUGCACCAUGCUUAACGGCUUAGAAUCGGGACUUCAAAGACGUUUUGAACGUCAUGGACCAUAUGAGAUGUUCCAGGAGUUGAAGUUAAUAUUUCAAGCAAAUACCCGAGUUGAGAGAUAUGAAGUCUCCAACAAGUUCUACAGCUAAAAGAUGGAGGAGAAUAGCUCAAGCAGUGAGCAUGUGCUCAGAUUGUCCGGGUACUACAAUCGCUUGAAUAAAGUGGGAGUUAAUCUUCCAGAUAAGAUAGUGAUUGACAGAAUUCUCUAGUCACCAUCACCAAGUUAGUAGAACUUCGUGAUGAACUAUAAUAUGCAAGGGAUAACAGAAACAAUUCCCAAGCUCUUCGUGAUGCUGAAAUCAACAAAGGUAGAAAUCAAGAAAAGCAUCAAGUGUUGAUGGUUGACGAGACCACUAGUUUCAAGAAAAGGGCAAAGGGAAGAAGGGGAACUUCAAGAAGAACGGCAAGCAAGUUGCUGCUCAAGUGAAGAAGCCCAAGUCUGGUCCUAAGCCUGAGACUAAGUGCUUCUACUGCAAAGGGACUGGUCACUGGAAGUGGAACUACCCCAAGUAUUUGGUGGAUAAGAAGGAUGCAAAGUGAACAAAGGUAUAUUGGAUAUACAUGUUAUUGAUGUGUACUUUACUAGUGUUUAUAGCAACCCCUCGGCAUUUGAUACUGGUUCAGUUGCUAAGAGUAGUAACUCGAAACGGGAGUUGCAGAAUAAACAGAAACUAGUAAAAGGCGAGGUGACGAUGUGUGUUGGAUGUAGUUCCAAGAUUGAUAUGAUCAUCAUCGCACACUCCCUAUACUUUCGGGAUUAGUGUUGAAACUAAAUAAGUGUUAUUUGGUGUUUGCGUUGAGCAUGAAUAUGAUUUGAUCAUGUUUGUUGCAAUACAGUUAUUCAUUUAAAUUAGAGAAUAAUUGUUGUUCUGUUUACAUGAAUAAAACCUUCUAUGGUCAUACACCCAAUAAAAUGGUUUGUUGGAUCUCGAUCGUAGUGAUACACAUAUUCAUAAUAAUGAAGCCAAAAGAUGCAAAGUUAAUAAUGAUAGUGCAACUUAUUUGUGGCACUGCCGUUUAGGUCAUAUUGGUAUAAAGCGCAUGAAGAAACUCCAUACUGAUGGGAUUUUUGGAAUCACUUGAUUAUGAAUCACUUGAUGCUUGCGAACCAUGCCUCUUGGGCAAGAUGACUAAAACGUCGUUCUCCGGAACAAUGGAGCAAGCAACAGAUUUGUUGAAAAUCAUACAUACUGAUGUAUGUGGUCCGAUGAAUAUUAAGGCUUGCGGCGGGUAUCAUUAUUUUCUGACAUUCACAGAUGAUUUGAGCAGAUAUGGGUAUAUCUACUUGAUGAAACACAAGUCUGAAACAUUUGAAAAGUUCAAAGAAUUUCAGAGUGAAGUGGAGAAUCAUCGUAACAAAAAUAAAAGUUUCUACGAUAUGAUCGCAGAGGUAAAAUAUAUUUGAGUUACGAGUUUGGCCUUCAGUUAAAACAAUGUGAAAUAGUUUCACUACUCACGCCACUUGGAACACCACAGUGUAAUGGUAUGUCCGAACGUCGUAACCGUACUUUAUUAGAUAUGGUGCGAUCUAUGAUGUCUCUUACCGAUCUACCACUAUCAUUUUAGGGUUAUGCAUUAGCGACAACUACAUUCACGUUAAAUAGGGCACCAUCUAAAUCCGUUGAGACUACACCGUAUGAACUAUGGUUUGGCAAGAAACCUAAGCUGUCGUUUCUUAAAGUUUGAGGUUGCAAUGCUUAUGUGAAAAAGUUUCAACCUGAUAAGCUCAAACCCAAAUCGGAGAAAUGCGUCUUCAAAGGAUACCCAAAAGAAAAUGUUGGGUACACCUUCUAUCACAGAUCCGAAGGCAAGAUAUUCGUUGUUGAAAAUGGAUCCUUUCUAGAGAAGGAGUUUCUCUCGAAAGAAGUGAGUGGGAGGAAAGUAGAACUUGAUGAGGUAACUGUACCUGCUCCCUUAUUGGAAAGUAGUUCAUCACAGAAACCGGUUAGUGUGACACCUACACCAAUUAAUGAGGAAGCUAAUGAUGAUGACCAUGAAACUUCAGAUCAAGUUACUACCGAACCUCGUAGGUCAACCAGAGUAAGAUCCACACCAGAGUGGUACGGUAAUCCUAUUUUGGAGGUCAUGUUACUUGACCAUGACGAACCUAUGAACUAUGAGGAAGCGAUGAUGAGCCCAGAUUCCGCAAAAUGGCUUGAGGCCAUGAAAUCUGAGAUGGGAUCCAUGUAUGAGAACAAAGUAUGGACUUUGAUUGACUUGCCCAAUGAUCGGUGAGCCAUUGAGAUUAAAUGGAUCUUCAAGAGGAAGACGGACGCUGAUAGUAGUGUUACUAUCUACAAAGCUAGAAUUGUCGCAAAAGGUUUUCGACAAGUUCAAGGUGUUGACUACGAUGAGAGUUUCUCACUCGUAUCUAUGCUUAAGUCUGUCCGAAUCAUAUUAGCAAUUGCCGCAUUUUAUGAAAUCUGGCAAAUGGAUAAACAAAACUGCAUUCUUUAAUGGAUUUAUUAAAGAAGAGUUGUAUAUGAUGCAACCAGAAGGUUUUGUCAAUCCUAAAAGUGCUAACAAAAUAUGCAAGCUCCAGCGAUCCAUCUAUGGACUGGUGCAAGCAUCUCGGAGUUGGAAUAUACGCUUUGAUAAGUUGAUCAAAGCAUAUAGUUUUAUACAGACUUGCGGUGAAGCCUGUAUUUACAAGAAAGUGAGUGGGAGCAGUACAACAUUUCUGAUAAGUAUAUGUGAAUGACAUAUUGUUGAUCGGAAAUAAUGUAGAAUUAUUCUGCAAAGCAUAAAGGAGUGUUUGAAAGGAGUUUUUCAAAGAAAGACCUCGGUGAAGCUGCUUACAUGUUGAGCAUCAAGAUCUAUAGAGAUAGAUCAAGACGCUUGAUAAGUUUUUUUUCAAUGAGUACAUACCUUGACAGGAUUUUGAAAUAGUUCAAAAUGGAACAGUCAAAGAAAGAGUUCUUGCCUGUGUUACAAGGUGUGAAGUUGAGUAAAGACUCAAAACCCGACCACGACAGAAAAAUAGAAAGAGAAUGAAGAGUCAUUCCCUAUGCCUCAGUCAUAGGUUCUAUCAAGUAUGCUAUGCUGAGUACCAGACCUAUUGUGUACCUCACCAUAAGUUUGGCAAGGGAGUACAAUAGUGAUCUAGGAGUAGAUCACUGGACAGUGGUCAAAAUUAUCCUUAGCGGAAUAAGGAUAUAUUUCUCGGUUAUGGAGGUGAUAAGGAGUUCGUCGUAAAGAGUUACGUUGAUGCAAGCUUUGACACCGAUCUGGAUGACUCUAAGUCACAAUCCAGAUACAUAUUGAAAAGUGGGAGCAAUUAGCUAAAGUAGCUCCGUGCAGAGCAUUGUAAACAUAGAAAUUUGCAAAAUACUUACGGAUAUGAAUGUGACAGACCCGUUGACUAAAAUUAUCUCACAAGCAAAACAUGAUCACACCUUAGUACUCUUUGGGUGUUAAUCACAUAGCGAUGUGAACUAGAUUACUGACUCUAGUAAACCCUUUGGGUGUUGGUGACAUGUCGAUGUGAACUAUGGGUGUUAACCACAUAAAUAUGUGAACCAUUGAUGUUAAAUCACAUAGCGAUGUGAACUAGAUUAUUGACUCUAGUGCAAGUGGGAGACUGAAGGAAAUAUGCCCUAGAGGCAAUAAUAAAGUUAUUAUUUAUUUCCUUAUAUCAUGAUAAAUGUUUAUUAUUCAUGCUAGAAUUGUAUUAACCGGAAACAUGAUACAUGUGUGAAUACAUAGACAAACAGAGUGUCACUAGUAUGCCUCUACUUGACUAGCUCGUUGAUCAAAGAUGGUUAUGUUUCCUAGCCAUAGACAUGAGUUGUCAUUUGAUUAACGGGAUCACAUCAUUAGGAGAAUGAUGUGAUUGACUUGACCCAUUCCGUUAGCUUAGCACUCGAUCGUUUAGUAUGUUGCUAUUGCUCUCUUCAUGACUUAUACAUGUUCCUAUGACUAUGAGAUUAUGCAACUCCCGUUUACCGGAGGAACACUUUGUGUGCUACCAAACGUCACAACGUAACUGGGUGAUUAUAAAGGUGCUCUACAGGUGUCUCCAAAGGUACUUGUUGGGUUGGCGUAUUUCGAGAUUAGGAUUUGUCACUCCGAUUGUCGGAGAGGUAUCUCUGGGCCCACUCAGUAAUACACAUCACUUUAAGCCUUGCAAGCAUUGUGACUAAUGAGUUAGUUGCGGGAUGAUGUAUUACGGAACGAGUAAAGAGACUUGCCGGUAACGAGAUUGAACUAGGUAUCGAGAUACCGACGAUCGAAUCUCGGGCAAGUAACAUACCGAUGACAAAGGGAACAACGUAUGUUGUUAUGCGGUCUGACCGAUAAAGAUCUUCGUAGAAUAUGUGGGAACCAAUAUGAGCAUCCAGGUUCCGCUAUUGGUUAUUGACCAGACAGGUGUCUCGGUCAUGUCUACAUAGUUCUCGAACCCGUAGGGUCCGCACGCUUAACGUUACGAUGACAGUUAUAUUAUGAGUUUAUAUGUUUUGAUGUACCGAAGGUUGUUCGGAGUCCCGGAUGUGAUCAUGGACAUGACGAGGAGUCUCGAAAUGGUCGAGACAUGAAGAUUGAUAUAUUGGAUGACUAUAUUCGGACACCGGAAUGGUUCCGGGGGUUAUCGGAUAUAUACCGGAGUACCGGGGGUUACCGGAACCCCCCGGAGGCUAUUGGGCCUCAUGGGCCCAAUUGGUGGAAGAGGAGAGGCGGCCAAGGGGCAGCCGCGCGCCCCUCCCCCCAAGUCCGAAUUGGACAAGGAGGGGGGCGGCGCCCCCCCUUUCCUUUCCCCCUCUCCCCUUCCCUCUCCUCUCCUAGUCCAACAAGGAAGGGAGGGAGUCCUACUCCCGGUGGGAGUAGGACUCCUCCGCGCGCCUCCUCCUGGCCGGCCGCACCUCCCCCUUGCUCCUUUAUAUACGGGGGCAAGGGGCACCCCAUAGACACAACAAUUGAUCUCUUGAUCUCUUAGCCGUGUGCGGUGCCCCCCUCCACCAUAAUCCACCUCGAUAAUAUCGUAGCGGUGCUUAGGCGAAGCCCUGCGUCGGUAGAACAUCAUCAUCGUCACCAUGCCGUCAUGCUGACAAAACUCUCCCUCAACACUCGGCUGGAUCAGAGUUCGAGGGACGUCAUCGGGUUGAACGUGUGCUGAACUCGGAGGUGCCGUGCGUUCGGUACUUGAUCGGUCGGAUCGUGAAGACGUACGACUACAUCAACCGCGUUGUGCUAACGCUUCCGCUUUCGGUCUAUGAGGGUACGUGGACAACACUCUCCCCUCUCGUUGCUAUGCAUCACCAUGAUCUUGCGUGUGCAUAGGAUUUUUUUUGAAAUUACUACGUUCCCCAACAAAAUCAUCAUUGGCUGGAGGAAAACGUGUCUGCUUCUCGGUGGGCCAGAUGUCAUGCGUCCAUUGGAGGAGACAUGCCUAUGAUACGUCGACACGUGGCAGGGCCCAACAGAGGCCCAUAUAGGUUAAAAAGGUCAGCCCAGUCAAAGGCCUGUAGUACUUACUCAGGUACUAGUGGGCCAGCCCAAUAACGACCUAUUUAAACAUGGCCCAUUUACGGCCCGAAGCCAGAUCUGGCCCGUUAAUUGUUCGCCGAAUAUUUGGGCCCAAUUACGGCCCAGUGACUUUCGGCCUGUUAGAGGCCUGAUGUAGACAUGGGCCCAUUUGAGCCCGGUGUGUCUUUCAGCUUGGGAAUGGCCCGUGCUGCCCAUGGGCCAUAUAUGGUCCGACGCGACAUCCAGCCCACUAACGGCUUGUGAUAAAUGUGGCAACAGUUCAGCCCAACGUGACUUUGAGCCUGUUAAAGGCCUGUCGUAUAAUUCGGCCCGUUGAUGCCUGUACUAAGCUUUCGGCCUCUUAAAGGCCCAUGAUAUCAGUGGGCCAACUAAGGUCUGAGAUAUGUUUCGGCCUGGUAACGACCCGUCAUAUAACUGGGCCAAAAAAGGCCCGGUCUACAUUUCAGCCUGCUGAAGGCCCGUCGACGACUAGUGAAAAUUUAGGACCAACAUGCAUUUCGUCCUCCUAAAGGCCCAUGGUUUCUUCUGGGCCGUAACAGGCCCGCAGAAUAUUCAGCCUAUUAAUGGCCCAAAGCUACAAGGGUCCAACUAAGCGCUGGGUCCACUAAAGGCCCAACUAAAAUUUGGGCCGAAUAUAGGCCGGAGUAAGUUGUGGGCCUGGCCCAAGGUGUGAAGGCCCCAAUGGCCAUUCGGGCCCAAGAAAGUUGCAGGCCGGCCCAAUUGUGGCCCGCUAAAAACCAGGCCCAUUAGAGGCGAAUAUUUCGGCUCGGUCGACUAUAUUAGAUUUUUUUCCAGAUAGCGAAUGAUGACAGUAACUAGUAGGAAUUAAGAACAAACCUACUCUAUACAAUAAAGAAAUUAUGGCAUAGUAUCUUAGAAUAAACCUACACUAUACAAUAAAGGAUUUAUGGUAUAUUACAUCCACUGGGCAUCGAAGUUCGCCACUAGUGAUCAUAAAGCGCAAUGAAAAAGCAGAUUACAAAACUGGGCACCAUUGCAGCGUAACAAAAUAAUACUGAACCGAGACUACUUCCAAGACAGUUCAAGAAAGGUUAGCCUUGCGCGGGAACUGCUGCGCAAGCUGCUGAGCAAGGCUGUGAGACCGGCCUAGCAUGUCGGUCAUAGCUUCCAGGUGUAGCUGUUUAGCAAUGAGGUUCUCAUUGGUGUUCUCCGCAAUCUUUCUUAGAGAUAGGACUUCAAGUCGAAGUUGAGUUGCAGAAUGCCUUUCUGCUAGAACUUGGGACUGAAGAAUUCGAACUGAUUCAGACAAUGAAUUCUGUGAGCUUGUCUGACUGCUAGUCUCAAGUAACUUGAACACUGUAUCAAGACAAGACUUUGGGGUUGUCUCGCUAUCUUCAAGAUGUUUUGCCUUCUUUGCUGCAAUAUAUGUUGGGUUUGUCUCACAGCCUUCAGCAGACUUGUGCAUGCCAUCAGGCAUAUCACCCUGAAACAAGUAGAGAGAUGACAGGUUUUGCACGUGUACAAAACAAAGAUGAUAACUGUGUUGUCAAUUCCAUCCAAUUUCAAAUUAGAAAAUAAAGAGUAAGUUCAAAAUAUCAAUAGCAUAAUUUGGCAUUGUUCAUAAUGCGGGGAGCUUCACCACACUACUGGAUUACCAUGUCAACAUAACAAGCAUGGAUGAAGGGCAAAGACAAUCAUUGUAUCUAUUUUGGUUAAUGUGCAUGACAUGUUGUUCAUAUCAUCAGCCACAUCAGUAAGAUAAAACAGGAGAUGACAAGGUGCAAACGUGGGCUGCUUCACCACACACUGGAUUAUAGAUCCACAAAAACAAACAUACAUAUAGGGAGUAUUGAGUAAUGUGCAUGGUAUGAAUAAGGAAUUUGGUUUUACAAGUAAAACUUGGAACUUACGGUUGUUGCGAACAUGCAUUUUGAUAGAAACAUCAAACUAAACAGUAGUUAACGAUAGGGAGUAUGAGCAAAUUAAACAGCAGUUGAGGAUAAAGGCUUUAGAAGGACUGACUUACAUUAAUAGUUAACAUCGGCUUUAUAAUGCCCUUCUCCAUGUCAAGGGAAGGAUAACUCAAGAAUUUCAUCACAUAAUCUUCUUCAUAAGCAUUGCCUGUACUCUCCAUUUUGUAGAGAGUAAUUAUAGAUAUGAUAAUACUUGAAGGGAUAUAGGAUAAUGAAGAUAAGAUGCAGAUUGAUGCCACAUAAUCAACUACCAAUCCUUGGAAGUACAAGCGUUACAGGACAAAAUGUACUCACAAGAGCAAUGGGCUACACUUCUGCACUGGCAUUGUCUGUGUAUUCAACUUUUUGGUAAGAUUAAAUAUAGAUCUGAUAUUUUUUAGUAAAUGGUGGGCGAGGGAGAUAAAAUGCAGAAUGCUACAUGAUACGUCUCCAACGUAUCUAUAAUUUAUGAAGUAUUCAUACUGUUUUAUUAUCAUUCUUGGAUGUUUUACAACCAUUUUAUAACAACUUUAUAUCAUUUUUUGGGACUAACCUAUUGACCCAGUGCCUAGUGCCAGUUGCUGUUUUUUGCUUGUUUUUUACAUCGCAGGAAAUCAAUAUCAAACGGAGUCCAAACAUCGUGAAACUUUUUGUGGAUUUUUUAUGGACCAGAAGACCACCAAUGUGCCAGAGCAGCACCUGGGAGGGUGCCCCAAGGGGGGCACAACCCACCAGGGCGCGCCUGGGGGCCCAGGCGCGCCCAGGUGGGUUGUCCCCACCUCGGUGGCCUCCCGCACCCCUCUUUACCCUAUAAAUUCACAAAUAUUCAAAAAACCCUCGGGGUUAACCUAGAUCAGAAGUUCCGCCACCGCAGGCCUCUGUAGCCACCGAAAACCAAUCUAGAUCCCGUUCCGGCACUCCGCCGGAGGGGGGAAUCAUCACCGGUGGCCAUCUUCAUCAUCCCGGCGGCCACCACGAUGAGGAGGGAGUAGUCCACCCUAGGGGCUGAGGGUUUGUACCAGUAGCUAUGUGUUUAAUCUCUCUCUCUCUCAUGUUCUUCAUAUGUCACGAUCUUGAUGUAUCGCAGGCUUUGUUAAUAUAGUCAGAUCAUAUGGUGUUUUUGUUGGAAAUAUGCCCUAGAGGCAAUAAUAAAAUGGUUAUUAUUAUAUUUCCUUGUUCAUGAUAAUUGUCUAUUGUUCAUGCUAUAAUUGUGUUAUCCGGAAAUCGUAAUACAUGUGUGAAUACAUAGAACACAACAUGUCCCUAGUGAGCCUCUAGUUGAAUAGCUCGUUGAUUAAUAGAUGGUCACGGUUUCCUGACCAUGGACAUUGGAUGUCGUUGAUAACGUGAUCACAUCAUUAGGAGAAUGAUGUGAUGGACAAGACCCAAUCCUAAGCAUAGCACAAGAUCGUGUAGUUCGUCUGCUAAAGCUUUUCUAAUGUCAAGUAUCAUUUCCUUAGACCAUGAGAUUGCGCAACUCCCGGAUACCAUAGGAAUGCUUUGGAUGUGCCAAACGUCACAACGUAACUGGGUGGCUAUAAAGGCUCACUACGGGUAUCUCCGAAAGUGUAUGUUGAGUUGGCACGAAUCGAGACUGGGAUUUGUCACUCCGUGUGACGGAGAGGUAUCUCUAGGCCCACUCGGUAAGACAUCAUCAUAAUGAGCUCAAUGUGACCAAGGAGUUGAUUACGGAAUGAUGUGUUACGGAACAAGUAAAGAGACUUGCCGGUAACGAGAUUGAACAAGGUAUAGGGAUACCGACGACCGAAUCUCGGGCAAGUAUCAUACCGAUAGACAAAGGGAAUUGUGUACGGGAUUGAUUGAAUCCCCGACAUCGUGGUUCAUCCGAUGAGAUCAUCGUGGAACAUGUGGGAGCCAACAUGGGUAUCCAGAUCCCGCUGGUGGUUAUUAGCCGGAGAGAUGUCUCGGUCAUGUCUGCAUGAUUCCCGAACCCGUAGGGUCUACACACUUAAGGUUCAGUGACACUAGAGUUGUUAUGGGAAAUAGUACGCAGUUACUGAAUGUUGUUCGGAGUCCUGUAUGAGAUCCUGGACGCCACGAGGAGUUCCGGAAUGGUCCGGAGGUGAAGAUUUAUAUAUGGGAAGUCAUCAUACGGUCACCAGAAGUGUUUGGGGGUUUAUCGGUAUUGCACCGGGACCACCGAAGGGGUUCUGGGGGUCCACCUGCCCUGAAGGGCCCUAUGGGCUAUAUGUGGAAUGAAACCAGCCCCUAAGUGGGCUGGGCGCCAUCCCCCCCCUAGGGCCCAUGCGCCUAGGGUUGGGGGGAACCCUAAAGGGGGCGCCCCCCUUGGCUUGGGGGGCAAGCCCCCUCCCCUUGGCCGCCGCCCCCCUCUAGAUAUCAUCUAGAGGGGCCGGCCCCCUUCCCCCUUCACCCUAUAAAUAGAGGGGUGGAGGGAAGGCAGCAGCACCACAUCCAAGGCGCAGCCCUCCCCCUCUCCAACACCCCUCCUCCUCCGUUGAGCUUGGCGAAGCCCUGCCGGAGAACUGCAAGCUCCACCACCACGCCGUCAUGCUGCCGGAGCUCUUCCCCAACUUCUCCUUCCCCCUUGCUGGAUCAAGAAGGAGGAGACAUCCCCGGGCUAUACGCGUGUUGAACGCUGAGGCGCCGUUGUUUGGCGCUUAGAUCGGAAUCAACCUCGAUCUGAAUCGCUGCGAGUACGACUCCUUCAUCCGCGUUCUUGUAACGCUUUCGCAUCACGAUCUUCAAGGGUAUGAAGAUGCACUCCCCUCUCUCUCGUUGCUAGUCUCUCCAUAGAUUGAUCUUGGUGAUGCGUAGGAAUUUUUUUAAUUUCUGCAACGAUCCCCAAUAGUGGCAUCAAGAGCUAGGUCUAUGCAUAGUUUCUAUGCACGAGUAGAACACAAGUUGUUGUGGGCGUCGAUUUUUUCAAUUUACUUGCCGUUACUAGUCUUAUCUUGAUUCGGCGGCAUCGUGGGAUGAAGCGGCCCGGACCGACCUUACACGUACGCUUACGUGAGACAGGUUCCACCGACUGACAUGCACUAGUUGCAUAAGGUGGCUAGCGGGUGUCUGUCUCUCCCACUUUAGUCGGAUCGGAUUCGAUGAAAUGGGUCCUUAUGAAGGGUAAAUAGAAAUUGGCAUAUCACGUUGUGGUUUUGGCGUAGGUAAGAAACGUUCUUGCUAGAAACCUAUAGCAGCCACUUAAAAUCUUGCAACAACAAUUAGAGGACGUCUAACUUGUUCUUGCAUCAUAUGCCGUGUGAUGUGAUAUGGCCAAAAGGAUGUGAUGAAUGAUAUAUGUGAUGUAUGAGAUUGAUCAUGUUCUUGUAAUAGGAAUCACGACUUGCAUGUCGAUGAGUAUGACAACCGGCAGGAGCCAUAGGAGUUGUCUUAAUUUAUUGUGUGACCUGCGUGUCACUGAAAACGCCAUGUAAUUACUUUACUUUAUUGCUAACCGUUAGCCAUAGUAGUAGAAGUAAUAGUUGGCGAGACAACUUCAUGAAGACACGAUGAUGGAGAUCAUGAUGAUGGAGAUGAUGGUGUCAUGCCGGUGAUGAUGAUGAUCAUGGCGCCUCGAAGAUGGAGAUCAAAAGGAGCAAAAUGAUAUUGGCCAUAUAAUGUGAAUAUUUGAUUGCAUGUGAUGUUUAUCAUGUUUUUACAUCUUAUUUGCUUAGAACGACGAUAGCUUAAAUAAGAUGAUCCCUCGCAAUAAUUUCAAGAAAGUGUUCCCCCUAACUGUGCACCAUUGCUAAGGUCCGUUGUUCCGAAGCACCACGUGAUGAUCGGGUGUGAUAGGUUCUAACGUUCGCAUACAACGGGUGUAAGCCAGAUUUACACACACAAUACACUUAGGUUGACUUGACGAGCCUAGCAUGUACAGACAUGGCCUCGGAACACGGAAGACCGAAAGGUCGAACAUGAGUCGUAUAGAAGAUACGAUCAACAUGAAGAUGUUCACCGAUGAUGACUAGUCCGUCUCACGUGAUGAUCAGACACGGCCUAGUUGACUCGGAUCAUGUAUCACUUAGAUGGCUAGAGGGAUGUCUAUCUGAGUGGGAGUUCAUUAAAUAAUUUGAUUAGAUGAACUUAACUGCCAUGAACUUAGUCUAAAAAAUCUUUAACAAUAUGUCUUGUAUAUCAAAUGGCCCACGCUAAUGUUGCCCUCAACUUCAACGCAUUCCUAGAGAAAACCAAGCUGAAAGACGAUGGUAGCAACUACACGGACUGGGUCCGUAACCUGAGGAUUAUCCUCAUAGCUGCCAAGAAAUCAUAUGUCCUUGAAGCACCGCUAGGUGAAGCACCUAUUUUCCCAGCAACUCAAGACGUUAUGAACGCUUGGCAGUCGCGUAGUGAUGAUUACUCCCUGGUUCAGUGCGGCAUGCUUUAUAGCUUAGAGCCGGGGCUCCAAAAGCGUUUUGAGCAGCACAGAGCAUAUGAGAUGUUCCAAGAGCUGAAAAUGGUUUUCCAAGCUCAUGCCCGGGUCGAGAGAUAUGAAGUCUCCGACAAGUUCUACAGUUGUAAGAUGGAGGAGAAUAGUUCUGUCAGCGAGCACAUACUCAAAAUGUCUGGGUUGCACAACCGCUUGUCUCAGCUGGGAGUUAAUCUCCCGGAUGACGCGGUCGUUGACAGAAUCCUUCAGUCGCUCCCACCUAGCUACAAGAGCUUUGUGAUGAAUUUCAAUAUGCAGGGGAUGGAGAAAACCAUUCCUGAGGUAUAUUCAAUGCUGAAAUCAGCGGAGGUGGAGAUCAAAAAGGAACAUCAAGUGUUGAUGGUCAAUAAAACCACUAGUUUCAAGAAAGGUAAGGGUAAGAAGAACUUCAAGAAGGACGGCAAGGGAGUUGCCGCGCCCGGUAAGCCAGUUGCCGGGAAGAAGCCAAAGCAUGGACCCAAGCCUGAGACCGAGUGCUUUUAUUGCAAGGGAAACGGUCACUUGAAGCGGAACUGCCCCAAGUACUUAGCGGAUAAGAAGGCCAGCAAUACCAAAGGUAUAUAUGAUAUACAUGUUAUUGAUGUGUACCUUACCAGCACUCGUAGUAGCUCCUGGGUAUUUGAUACCGGUGCGGUUGCUCAUAUUUGUAACUCAAAACAGGAGCCGCGGAAUAAGCGGAGACUGGCGAAGGACGAGGUGACGAUGCACGUCGGGAAUGGUUCCAAGGUCGAUGUGAUCGCCGUCGGCACGCUACCUCUACAUUUACCUAUAGGAUUAGUUUUAAACCUCAAUAAUUGUUUAGUGCCAGCUUUGAGCAUGAACAUUGUAUCUGGAUCUCACUUAAUGUGAGAUGGCUACUCAUUUAAAUCUGAGAAUAAUGGUUGUUCUAUUUAUAUGAGAGACAUGUUUUAUGGUCAUGCCCCGCUGGUCAAUGGUUUAUUCUUGUUUAAUCUCGAACGUGAUGUUACACAUAUUCAUAGUGUGAAUGCCAAAAGAUGUAAGGUUGAUAAUGAUAGUCCCACGUACUUGUGGCACUGCCGCCUUGGUCACAUUGGUGUCAAACGCAUGAAGAAACUCCAUGCAGAUGGACUUUUGGAGUCUCUUGAUUAUGAAUCAUUUGACACAUGCGAACCAUGCCUCAUGGGCAAAAUGACCAAGACUCUGUUCUCCGGAACAAUGAAGCGAGCAACCAACUUGUUGGAAAUCAUACAUACUGAUGUGUGCGGUCCAAUGAGCGUUGAGGCUCGCGGUGGUUAUCGUUAUGUUCUCACCCUCACUGAUGACUUAAGUAGAUAUGGGUAUGUCUACUUAAUGAAACACAAGUCUGAGACCUUUGAAAAGUUCAAGGAAUUUCAGAGUGAGGUUGAGAAUCAACGUGACAAGAAAAUAAAGUUCUUACAAUCAGAUCGUGGAGGGGAAUAUUUGAGUCACGAAUUUGGCACACACUUAAGGAAAUGUGGAAUUGUUUCACAACUCACGCCACCUAGAACACCUCAGCGUAAUGGUGUGUCCGAACGUCGUAAUCGCACUCUGUUUGACAUGGUGCGAUCUAUGAUCUCUCUUACCGACCUACCGCUAUCAUUUUGGGGUUAUGCUUUAGAGACUGCCGCAUUCACUUUAAAUAGGGCUCCGUCGAAAUCCGUUGAGACGACACCGUAUGAAUUAUGGUUUGGGAAGAAACCUAAGCUGUCGUUUCUAAAAGUUUGGGGAUGCGAUGCUUAUGUCAAGAAACUUCAACCUGAAAAGCUCGAACCCAAGUCAGAAAAAUGCGUCUUCAUAGGAUACCCUAAGGAAACUAUUGGGUAUACCUUCUACCUCAGAUCCGAAGGCAAGAUCUUUGUUGGCAAGAAUGGAUCCUUUCUAGAGAAAGAGUUUCUCUAGAAAGAAGUCAGUGGGAGGAAAGUAGAACUUGAUGAAGUACUACCUCUUGAACCGGAAAGUAGCGCAGCUCAAGAAAAUGUUUCUGUGGUGCCUGCACCGACUAGAGAGGAAGUUAAUGAUGAUGAUCAAGGAACUUCGGAUCAAGUUACUACUGAACUUUGUAGGUUCACGAGGACACGUUCCACGCCAAAAUGGUAUGGCAACCCUGUCCUAGAAAUAAUGUUGUUAGACAACGGUGAACCUUCGAACUAUGAAGAAGCGAUGGCGGGCCCAGAUUCCAACAAAUGGCUUGAAGCCAUGAAAUCCGAUAUAGGAUCCAUGUAUGAAAACAAAGCAUGGACUUUGACGGACUUGCCUGAUGAUCGGUGAGCCAUAGAAAAUAAAUGGAUCUUUAAGAAGAAGAUGGAUGCGGAUGGCAAUGUGACCAUCUAUAAAGCUCGGCUUGUCGCUAAGGGUUAUCGACAAGUUCAAGGGGUUGACUAGGAUGAGACCUUCUCACCUGUAGCGAAGCUGAAGUCCGUCCAAAUCAUGUUAGCAAUUGCCGCAUUCUAUGAUUAUGAGAUAUGGCAAAUGGACGUCAAAACGGCAUUCCUUAAUGGUUUCCUUAAGGAAGAAUUGUAUAUGAUGCAGCCGGAAGGUUUUGUCGAUCCUAAGAAUGCUGACAAGGUAUGCAAGCUCCAACGCUCAAUCUAUGGGCUGGUGCAAGCAUCUCGGAGUUGGAACAUUGAAUUUGAUGAGAUGAUCAAAGCGUUUGGGUUUACGCAGAUUUAUGGAGAAGCCUGUGUUUACAAGAAAGUGAGUGGGAGCUCUGUGGCAUUUCUCAUAUUAUAUGUGGAUGACAUACGAUUGAUGGGAAAUGAUAUAGAACUCUUGGAAAGCAUAAAGGCCUACUUGAAUAAGUGUUUUUCAAUGAAGGACCUUGGAGAAGCUGCUUAUAUAUUAGGCAUCAAGAUCUAUAGAGAUAGAUCGAGACGCCUCAUUGGUCUUUCACAAAGCACAUACCUUGACAAGAUAUUGAAGAAGUUCAAUAUGGAUCAGUCCAAGAAGGGGUUCUUGCCGGUAUUGCAAGGUGUGAGAUUGAGCACAGCUCAAUGCCCGACCACGGUAGAAGAUAGAGAAAAGAUGAGUGUCAUCCCCUAUGCCUCGGCCAUAGGGUCUAUUAUGUGUGCCAUGCUGUGUACCAGACCUGAUGUAAACCUUGCCAUAAGUUUGGUAGGAAGGUACCAAAGUAAUCCCGGCAUGGAACACUGGACAGCGGUCAAGAAUAUCCUGAAGUACCUAAAAAGGACUAAGGAUAUGUUUCUCAUUUAUGGAGGUGAUGAAGAGCUCGUCGUAAAGGGUUACGUCGAUGCUAGCUUCAACACAGAUCUGGAUGACUCCAAGUCACAAACCGGAUACGUGUAUAUUUUGAAUGGUGGGGCAGUCAGCUGGUGCAGUUGCAAGCAAAGCGUCGUGGCGGGAUCUACAUGUGAAGCGGAGUACAUGGCAGCGUCAGAGGCAGCACAUGAAGCAAUCUGGAUGAAGGAGUUCAUUACCGACCUAGGAGUUAUUCCCAAUGCGUCGGGCCCGAUGGCUCUCUUCUGUGACAACACUAGAGCUAUUGCCUGGCCAAGGAGCCCAGGUUUCACAAGAAGACCAGGCAUAUCAAGCGUCGCUUCAACUCCAUUCGUGAAAAUGUUCAAGAUGGAGACAUAGAUAUUUGUAAAGUGCAUACAGACCUGAAUGUCGCAGAUCCAUUGACUAAACCCCUUCCACAAGCAAAACAUGAUCAACACCAGAACUCUAUGGGUGUUUGAUUCAUCACAAUGUAACUAGAUUAUUGACUCUAGUGCAAGUGGGAGACUGUUGGAAAUAUGCCCUAGAGGCAAUAAUAAAAUGGUUAUUAUUAUAUUUCCUUGUUCAUGAUAAUUGUCUAUUGUUCAUGCUAUAAUUGUGUUAUCCGGAAAUCGUAAUACAUGUGUGAAUACAUAGACCACAACAUGUCCCUAGUGAGCCUCUAGUUGACUAGCUCGUUGAUCAAUAGAUGGUCACGGUUUCCUGACCAUGGACAUUGGAUGUCGUUGAUAACUGGAUCACAUCAUUAGGAGAAUGAUGUGAUGGACAAGACCCAAUCCUAAGCAUAGCACAAGAUCGUGUAGUUCGUCUGCUAAAGCUUUUCUAAUGUCAAGUAUCAUUUCCUUAGACCAUGAGAUUGUGCAACUCCCGGAUACCGUAGGAAUGCUUUUGGUGUGCCAAACGUCACAACGUAACUGGGUGGCUAUAAAGGCUCACUACGGGUAUCUCCAAAAGUGUCUGUUGAGUUGGCACGAAUCGAGACUGGGAUUUGUCACUCCAUGUGACGGAGAGGUAUCUCUGGGCCCACUCGGUAAGACAUCAUCAUAAUGAGCUCAAUGUGACGAAGGAGUUGAUCAUGGGAUGACGUGUUACGUAACGAGGAGUUCCGGGGGUCCGGAGGUGAAGAUUUAUAUAUGGGAAGGCAUCAUACGGUCACCGGAAGUGUUCGGGGGUUUAUCGGUAUUGUACCGGGACCACCGAAGGGGUUCCGGGGGUCCAUCGGGAGGGUCCACCUACCCCGGAGGGCCCUAUGGGUUGUAUGUGGAAGGGAACCAGCCCCUAAGUGGGCUGGGCGCCAUCCCCCCUAGGGCCCAUGCGCCUAGGGUUGGGGGGGAACCCUAAAGGGGGCGCCCCCCUUGGCUUGGGGGGCAAGCCCCCUCCCCUUGGCCGCCGCCCCCCUCUAGUUAUCAUCUAGAGGGGCCGGCCCCCUUCCCCCUUCGCCCUAUAAACAGAGGGGUGGAGGGAGGGUAGCAGCACCACAUCCAAGGCGCAACCCUCCCCCUCUCCAACACCCCCUCCUCCUCCGUUGAGCUUGGCGAAGCCCUGACAGAGAACUGCAAGCUCCACCACCAUGCCGUCAUGCUGCCGGAGCUCUUCCCCAACUUCUCCUUCCCCCUUGCUGGAUCAAGAAGGAGGAGACGUCCCCGGGCUGUACGUGUGUUGAACGUGGAGGCGCCUUUGUUCGGCGCUUAGAUUGGAAUCAACCGCGAUCUGAAUCGCUGCGAGUACGACUCCUUCACCCGCGUUCUUGUAACGCUUCCGCAUCAUGAUCUUCAAGGGUAUGAAGAUGCACUCCCCUCUCUCUCGUUGCUAGUCUCUCUUUAGAUUGAUCUUGGUGAUGCGUAGAUUUUUUUUUUAAUUUCUGCAACGAUCCCCAACAGUUUUCCCCUCUCUAUCUUGUGAUGAAUUGAGUUUUCCCAUUGAGAUUUCAUUGUUAUCGGAUUGAAUACUUUUAUGGAUUUGAGAACACUUGAUAUAUGUCUUGCAAUUGAAUACUCAUAUUGAUUCACUUGAUAUAUGUUUUGGCACUCAACUCGUGGAUUCCCGAGGUGACAUUGGGGUAAUCUAUGCAUAGGGGUUGAUGCACGUUCUUGUCUUUGUUUCUCCAGUAGAAAUCUUGGGGCAUUCUUUGAAGUUCUUUGUGUUGGAUUGAAUAUUAUGAUUCUGAAUUUGCUUUGGUGUUAUUUUAGUACGAACUCUUGGUUAGAUCGAUCGAAAAGAAUAGCUUCGUGUUAUUUUAGUAGGAACUCUAGGAUAGAUUGAUCAGAAAGAAUAGCUUUGAGGUGGUGUCGUACCCUACAAACAAUUCCGUCUUAUGUUCUCCGUUAGAUAGGAACUUUGGAGUGCUUCUUCGUUGCAUGUUGAGGGACGGUUGUAUGAUCCAAUUAUAUUAGCACUGUUGAGAGAUUGCACUAGUGAAAGUACGGACCCUAGGCCUCAUAUUCAAGCAUUGCAAUACUGUUUUUGUGCCCGUUUACUAUUUGUUACCUUGCUGUUUUUAUUUAUUCAGAUUAUAAAAAUAUAUUUCUACCAUCAAUAUUACACUUUUAUCACCAUCUCUUCGCCGAACUAGUGCACCUAUACAAUUUUCCAUUGUAUUGGGUGUGUUGGGGACACAAGAUAUUUCUUGUAUUUGGUUGCAGGGUUGCUUGAGAGAGACCAUCUUCAUUCACCUCCCACGGAUUGAUAAACCUUAGGUCAUCCACUUGAGGGAAAAUUGCUACUGUCCUACAAAACUCUACGCUUGGAGGCCCAACACGAGUCUACAAGAAUAAAGUUGCGUAGUAGACAUCACUACACAAUGAACCAAUCCCUCUUCCCAUAAUACAAGAGUGUUUUGAACACUGGUGUACUGUACAAAACAUUCUUAUAUUAUGGGACGGAGGGAGUAGCUAUUAAUGUAAGUAUAGUGAUAGACAACGUUCAGUCCUUACAAGUGGACUGCAGAGCAAAACCUCUUCAAAAGCAUUGGGUUGAUUCUAAAUUUAUGUAAGAGUCCAUACAGAUCUUAUAAUGUCCACCAAAUGGACGAUAACGAGGCUAACAUGUGCAGUGAUGCUACAUAAUCAACCAGCUAUGAAAGUAAGUAUGGUCAUACAGGGCAAGAGGUACUCACAAGAGCAAUGCAGUGUGCAGUAUAGUUGCGAGAUUCUGUGGUCCCUUGAGAAUGAAUGUUCUUCUGCUAACAGUUUUCAUACAAGUGAGACGUUAAGGAAAAUGCAGAAAUGUAGUUCAAAUUGUGAUGUGAUAUCAUAGACAAUACCUUACGCUGCAGACGAGACCAAUGUGUAACAAGAUUAUUCCAGUCACUGUCUGAUAAAUGUAGCACCAGAGACUUUAUAGAAAUUUCGUUUAGAGGCUUGCCAUCGAGGUGCGCUUGCCUCAGGUAGGAACGAUACUUCAUCAAUGAGUGCUUGAAAAGUGCAACCAACCUUGCUCGACUUGACAAUCCAAUUUGGUCCUCGCCUAUUUAAAAGAAUGAAAUCUUGUGUCUUCGGUCAGCAGAAACAUAUGCAGUAAUUACCAUGAAUAACAUUAGUACAUUACUUACGCGUAAGUUGCGAGGAAGACUGAAAAUUGUUCUGUGUCUGCGGUAUAAUCUUUCCAUGAAGGAAAGAUGCUCAAAGUUCCUGACAACAAUAUAAGCUUCGUCUUGUAAAUUGGGAAGAAAUGGAAAAGGGGUCCUAUUUGAUGCAAUUGGGGCUCUCUCUGGUUCGAAAAGGGAUUUGGCAACUGGAUUUGGUGUACUCUUUGCUGGAAUGGGGGUUUUGCGUCGUAGAGCUGGUGCUAUGUCAACUGGCAUCAUCAUACUAUUUGCUGCAGUUGGGGUCUGCUGAGUUGGGGCAUUAGAAAUGACCAGUGUAGUAGGGCUAGAGUCUGCUAGAGUUGGGGCCGUGUUUUGUGGGUCAGGUGAUAUUGCAACUACACCUAAUGGGCUAUUUGAUUUAUCAGGUGUCACUACCUUUUCCAAAUACUUUGCUUGUGCUCCUCCGCGAUCAGCAAUCGCCCUCUUCCUUUUGAACGUCUGAUACACAAGAACAACAUUUGAAUGGAUAAAUAUGGUAUGAUAACAGAUGGAAUAUGUACUGAAAAUGGAUAGGCAGGGCGUAUUCACAUACACGAUGUGUAAACUAAGCUAAUGGCAGUGCAACAAAGUAGAAGCAAUGCAAAGCAUCAGUUGCAAGAUAUGUGCAACCAAUAUAACCUUGGAAAGUUAGAGCAAGCACCUUGAUGGGUGAAUAAGAUAGGGCAUCUGCCUCUGACUCCUCCACCAGGGAUCUACAUUGACUUAGGUCUCCCUCUAGCUCAGAAUCACUGUUAGGAUCAUAUUCUGAGCAUGAAUCUGCAGGUGGAGAGCGUUUCCAUUGCAUUGCAUCCAGAUUUGAUUUCAAUCCCUUAAUGCCAAGUUUGAAAACCAUGGCAUUGUUCUACUUUAUUCUUUUCAUGCGCGCAAGCUCAUAAUCAUUAUGAUGUUGUUCAGGAUCUGGGAUUCAUGAAAACAUAAAAAGUAGUCAGAUUAUCUAUGGAAUGCAUUGCGGAUUCAACUCGAAGAGUGUCCCCCUAUAAACCCCUGCAUAUGCAAAGUUCACCCCCAACCGUGCUAACCAGACCACACACAUAAAUACAAACCUCUUAUGUCUCUACACACUACCAAAAAAAGACACAUCCGUGACAUUUUGGGCCGAACAAAUUUUUUUCCUGUCAUGCUUAUGACACUUGUAUGACGAUAAUUGUGACAAAACC
rnacentral:lncRNA from 1 species